rnacentral:rRNA from 1 species
AAUCCUAAUUAUCAGUGAUGUCUGAGCAAAUAUUAAAUAAUUAAAACUUUCAACAACGGAUCUCUUGGUUCUGGCAUCGAUGAAGAACGCAGCGAAAUGCGAUAAGUAAUGUGAAUUGCAGAAUUCAGUGAAUCAUCGAAUCUUUGAACGCACAUUGCGCCCCUCGGUAUUCCGGGGGGCAUGCCUGUUCGAGCGUCAUUA